rnacentral:rRNA from 1 species
CACGGGGGGAGCAAGCGUUGUUCGGAAUCACUGGGCGUAAAGGGCGUGUAGGCGGUCAGGUUAGUGAGAUGUGAAAUGCCCCGGCUCACCCGGGGACCUGCAUCUCAAACUGCCUGGCUUGAGUAUGGGAGAGGAUGAGGGAAUUCCACGUGUAGCGGUGAAAUGCGUAGAGAUGUGGAGGAACACCAGUGGCGAAGGCGACUCUUUGGCCUGUAACUGACGCUGAGGCGCGAAAGCGUGGGGAGCAAACAGG